CACGUAGGGGACGAGCGUUGUCCGGAAUCAUUGGGCGUAAAGAGCGUGUAGGCGGCCAGGUAGGUCAGCUGUGAAAACUCGAGGCUCAACCUCGAGACGCCGGUUGAAACCAUCUGGCUAGAGUCCGGAAGAGGAGAGUGGAAUUCCUGGUGUAGCGGUGAAAUGCGCAGAUAUCAGGAAGAACACCCGUGGCGAAGGCGGCUCUCUGGGACGGUACUGACGCUGAGACGCGAAAAGCGUGGGGGAGCGAACAAG
rnacentral:rRNA from 1 species